AGUGAAUAGAUACCCAGGUAGUCCACGCCCUAAACGAUGAUCACUGGGUGUUCGGGGAGCGAUCUCUGAGUACCGUAGCUAACGCGUGAAGUGAUCCGCCUGGGGAGUACGGUCGCAAGAUUAAAACUCAAAGGAAUUGACGGGGACCCGCACAAGCGGUGGAUGAUGUGGAUUAAUUCGAUGCAACGCGAACAACCUUACCUACCCUUGACAUGUCCGGAAGCCCGGUGAGAGCUGGGGGUGCCCGAAAGGGAACCGGAACACAGGUGCUGCAUGGCUGUCGUCAGCUCGUGUCGUGAGAUGUUGGGUUAAGUCCCGCAACGAGCGCAACCCUUGUCCCUAGUUGCUACGCAAGGGCACUCUAGGGAGACUGCCGGUGACAAACCGGAGGAAGUGGGGAUGACGUCAAGUCCUCAUGGCCCUUAUGGGUAGGGCUUCACACGUCAUACAAUGGUCGGUACAGAGGGUUGCCAAGCCGCGAGGUGGAGCCAAUCCCGGAAAGCCGAUCGUAUCCGGGAUCGCAGUCUGCAACUCG
rnacentral:rRNA from 1 species